UACGAAGGGGGCUAGCGUUGCUCGGAAUCACUGGGCGUAAAGCGCACGUAGGCGGAUUGUUAAGUCAGGGGUGAAAUCCUGGAGCUCAACUCCAGAACUGCCUUUGAUACUGGCGAUCUCGAGUCCGGGAGAGGUGAGUGGAACUGCGAGUGUAGAGGUGAAAUUCGUAGAUAUUCGCAAGAACACCAGUGGCGAAGGCGGCUCCACUGGCCCGGUACUGACGCUGAGACGCGAAAGCGUGGGGAGCGAACAGG
rnacentral:rRNA from 1 species